rnacentral:lncRNA from 1 species
CAGCGAGACUCCGUGGGCGUAGGACCCUACGAGCCAGGUGUGGGAUGUAAUCUCAUGAGCUGGUAUACGAUGCCUCUCCAGAAUCACCUUGUUCUUUCUGGAUCUAUUCAGAAUCUGAAACUCCUAGAAAAGAAAAAUGCAAGAUGCAUGAGGUGGAAAAUGAAGCACAGAGAAGUUCAGUGAUGGACCUCAGAUACUACCAGCAGAAAGCAGAAGAGCUAGGAUUUCAACUUAGGAUGUCUGGAUCCACAGUCUGCACUCCUACCCACUAUGCUACACUGCCUCUAACUAUGAGGAAGCAAGGGCAUUUUUUUUUUUCUGGUGACUAAAAAGAUAAGAGUUCAAGUAUGUGGCUCCUGAUAAUCUAACUUAUACAGCCUGGAAAAAUUGAUAGUUACUAUAUCCAGACUGUCUCAUUCAAUUAACAGUUUCUCAAGUAAUCUUCUAGUUACUGUCGUAUUUUAUCUGUAUCAACUUAGCAAACCAAGUCCAAAACAUUUUAUAUGUGUCUAUCUUUCCUGCUGUUCAUAUUAUUGAGUUAGCCAAAUAAAUUCAAUUUUUUUUCUACUGUUUGUUUCUCACAAAUUAUGACUGGCAUCUGUAUAUCUGGGAAGGUUCUACUGCAUUGCUGUAUUAUCACUAUAUAAUUAUAAGAGAUCACAGAGUGCAUUGAUGAAGGCCAUGUUGAGACAUGAUGAAACAGGGUCCAUUGUGACUGGGUGAAACUGUCUUCAAUUUCCUGGUCUAUAAAGCAGAG